rnacentral:rRNA from 1 species
UCAAGAAACUUCCACAAUGGGCGAAAGCCUGAUGGAGCGACGUCGCGUGAUGGACGAAGUGCUUCGGCACGUAAACAUCUUUUAUGUGGGAUGAAAUUAUUGACAGUACCACAUGAAUAAGGGGCUCCUAACUCUGUGCCAGCAGGAGCGGUAAUACAGAGGCCACAAGCGUUACCCGGAAUUACUGGGCGUAAAGAGUGCGUAGGUGGUCGUGUUAGUCGUCUGUCAAAACCCAGGGCUCAACCCUGGAUCCGCAGGCGAAACGGCACGACUCGAGGGAGUGAGAGGUGAAUGGAACUCAUGGUGUAGCGGUGAAAUGCGUAGAUAUCGGAAGGAACAUCGGUGGCGAAGGCGUCUACCUGGCCUAAUACUGACACUGAGGCACGAAAGCGUGGGGAGCAAACAGGAUUAGAUACCCCCGUAGUCCCUGAGCGGGCUGGCAAGGCGCGAU